GGCCGCGUGGCCUAAUGGUUAAGGCAUCUGAUUCUAGAUCAGAAGGUUGAGGGUCUGAGUCCCUUCAUGGUUG
rnacentral:tRNA from 1 species